rnacentral:rRNA from 1 species
AUCUUCCACAAUGGGCGAAAGCCUGAUGGAGCAACGCUGCGGGAGUGAAGAAGGUUUUCGGAUCGUAAAACUCUGUUGUUAGGGAAGAACAAGUAUCGUUCGAAUAGGGCGGUACCUUGACGGUAGCCAACCAGCAAGCCUCGGCUAACUACGUGCCUGCAGCCGCGGUAAUACGUAGGUGGCAAGCGUUAUCCGGAAUUAUUGGGCGUAAAGCGCGCGCAGGCGGUUUCUUAAGUCUGAUGUGAAAGCCCACGGCUCAACCGUGGAGGGUCAUUGGAAACUGGGAAGCUUGAGUGCAGAAGAGGAGAGUGGGAUUCCAUGUGUAGCGGUGAAAUGCGUAGAGAUAUGGAGGAACACCAGUGGCGAAGGCGACUCUCUGGUCUGCAACUGACGCUGGGGCGCGAAAGCGGGGGGAGCGAACA